rnacentral:pre_miRNA from 1 species
GAGUCUAGUUACUAGGCAGUGUAGUUAGCUGAUUGCUGACCGUACCAAUCACUAACCACACGGCCAGGUAAAAAGACUGG